CCGGGUGAGUAACACGUAGGUAAUCUACCUUUGGGUGGGGGAAUAACAACCGGAAACGGUUGCUAAUACCGCAUAAUGCAGCGGCAUCGCAAGAUGACAGUUGUUAAAGAUUUAUCGCUUGAAGAGGAGCUUGCGGCAGAUUAGCUAGUUGGUAAGGUAAUGGCUUACCAAGGCUACGAUCUGUAACCGGUCUAAGAGGACGGUCGGUCACACUGACACUGAAUAACGGGUCAG
rnacentral:rRNA from 1 species